rnacentral:rRNA from 1 species
ACGCACGCUGGCGGCGUGCUUAACACAUGCCAGUCGCACGGAAAGGCCCUGCUUGCCGGGUGCUCGAGUGGCGAACGGGUGAGUAACACGUGGGUGAUCUGCCCCUUACUUUGGGAUAAGCCUGGGAAACUGGGUCUAAUACUGGAUAGGACCAUGCUGUAGGUGGUGUGGUGGAAAGAUUAGUUUCGGUAAGGGAUGAGCUCGCGGCCUAUCAGCUUGUUGGUGGGGUAAUGGCCUACCAAGGCGUCGACGGGUAGCCGGCCUGAGAGGGUGGACGGCCACAUUGGGACUGAGAUACGGCCCAGACUCCUACGGGAGGCAGCAGUGGGGAAUAUUGCACAAUGGGCGCAAGCCUGAUGCAGCGACGCCGCGUGGGGGAUGACGGCCUUCGGGUUGUAAACUCCUUUCAGCCAUGACGAAGCCCUUGUGGUGACGGUAGUGGUAGAAGAAGCACCGGCUAACUACGUG